rnacentral:rRNA from 1 species
AGUGAACGCUGGCGGUAGGCCUAACACAUGCAAGUCGAACGGCAGCACAGUAAGAGCUUGCUCUUACGGGUGGCGAGUGGCGGACGGGUGAGGAAUACAUCGGAAUCUACUUUUUCGUGGGGGAUAACGUAGGGAAACUUACGCUAAUACCGCAUACGACCUACGGGUUAAAGCAGGGGAUCUUCGGACCUUGCGCGAUUGAAUGAGCCGAUGUCGGAUUAGCUAGUUGGCGGGGUAAAGGCCCACCAAGGCGACGAUCCGUAGCUGGUCUGAGAGGAUGAUCAGCCACACUGGAACUGAGACACGGUCCAGACUCCUACGGGAGGCAGCAGUGGGGAAUCUUGGGCAAUGGGCGAAAGCCUGAUGCAGCCAUGCCGCGUGGGUGAAGAAGGCCUUCGGGUUGUAAAGCCCUUUUGUUGGGAAAGAAAAGCAGCAUGUGAAUCCACGGCUGUUCUGACGGUACCCAAAGAAUAAGCACCGGCUAACUUCGUG